GACGAACGCUGGCGGCGUGCUUAACACAUGCAAGUCGAACGGAAAGGCCUCUUUCGGGGGGUACUCGUGUGGCGAACGGGUGAGUAACACGUGAGUAACCUGCCCUUGUCUUUGGGAUAACUUCCGGAAACUGGGGCUAGUACCGGACAGGUGCUCCUGUUGCAUGGUGGGGGUUGGAGAGUUUCGGCGGUUGGGGGUGGACUGGCGGUGUAUCCGCUUUGUGGUGGGAUAUUGGUUUACCAAGGCUUUACCGGGUAGCCGGUCUGUGGGAGUGAGGGGCGACAUUGGGACCGAGAGGCGGCAGAGACUGCGAAGGGAGGGAGCAGGGGGGAAGAUUGCAGAAUGAGUGGAAGCCUGAUGCAGCAACGCCGUGUGCGGGAUGACGGCCUUCGGGUUGUAGACCGCUUGUGCUCAUGACGAAGCUUUGUGUGACGGUAGUGGGUAAAGAAGCACCGGCUAACUACGUG
rnacentral:rRNA from 1 species